UAAGGAAUAUUGGGCAAUGGAGGCAACUCUGACCCAGCCAUGCCGCGUGGAGGAUGAAGGCCCUCUGGGUUGUAAACUUCUUUUACCUGGGACGAAACCACCUUUUUCUAAGGGUGUUGACGGAACCAGGGGAAUAAGCACCGGCUAACUCCGUGCCAGCAGCCGCGGUAAUACGGAGGGUGCAAGCGUUAUCCGGAUUCACUGGGUUUAAAGGGUGCGUAGGCGGGCAGGUAAGUCCGUGGUGAAAUCUCCGAGCUUAACUCGGAAACUGCCAUGGAUACUAUUUGUCUUGAAUACUGUGAAGGUGAGCGGAAUAUGUCAUGUAGCGGUGAAAUGCUUAGAUAUGACAUAGAACACCAAUUGCGAAGGCAGCUCACUGCGCAGUGAUUGACGCUGAGGCACGAAAGCGUGGGGAUCAAACAGGAUUAGAUACCCGUGGUAGUCCACGCCCUAAACGACUGGAUACUCGACAUACGUGAUAUGACUAUG
rnacentral:rRNA from 1 species